AAAAUGCGAUAAGUAAUGUGAAUUGCAGAAUUCAGUGAAUCAUCGAAUCUUUGAACGCACAUUGCGCCCGCCAGUACUCUGGCGGGCAUGCCUGUUCGAGCGUCAUUUCAACCCUCAAGCCCCCGGGUUUGGUGUUGGGGAUCGGGCUGCGGUUCUACCGCGUCCCGGCCCCGAAAUCUAGUGGCGGUCUCGCUGCAGCCUCCAUUGCGUAGUAGCUAACACCUCGCAACUGGAACGCGGCGCGGCCAAGCCGUUAAACCCCCAACUUCUGAAUGUUGACCUCGGAUCAGGUAGGAAUACCCGCUGAACUUAAGC
rnacentral:misc_RNA from 1 species